rnacentral:rRNA from 1 species
AGCGAACGUUAGCGGCGGGCUUAACACAUGCAAGUCGAGCGAGAAAGGGACUUCGGUCCUGAGUAAAGCGGCGGACGGGUGAGUAACACGUAGGUAAUCUUCCCUUGAGCGGGGAACAACGGUCCGAAAGGACCGCUAAUACCGCAUACGUUUCCAGGGACUCUGGUCUUUGGAAGGAAAGCUAGGCCGCAAGGUCCGGCACUCGAGGAGGAGCCUGCGUCGCAUCAGCUAGUUGGUGGGGUAAUGGCCUACCAAGGCGAAGACGCGUAGCUGGUCUGAGAGGAUGAUCAGCCACACUGGGACUGAGACACGGCCCAGACUCCUACGGGAGGCAGCAGUGGGGAAUAUUGGACAAUGGGCGCAAGCCUGAUCCAGCCACGCCGCGUGAGUGAUGAAGGCC